GUUAGGAAUAUUGGACAAUGGGCGCAAGCCUGAUCCAGCCAUGCCGCGUGAGUGAUGAAGGCCUUCGGGUUGUAAAGCUCUUUAGCCGAUGAUUAUAAUGACUGUAGUCGGAAAAUAAGCCCCGGCUAACUUCGUGCCAGCAGCCGCGGUAAUACGAAGGGGGCGAGCGUUAUUCGGAAUCACUGGGCGUAAAGCGUGCGUAGGCGGUUUUGUAAGUUAGGAGUGAAAGCCCAGGGCUCAACCUUGGAAUUGCUCUUAAAACUGCAAGGCUCGAAUCUCGGAGAGGAUAGCGGAAUUUCCAGUGUAGCAGUGAAAUGCGUAGAUAUUGGAAGGAACACCAGUGGCGUAAGCGGCUAUCUGGACGAGUAUUGACGCUGAGGCACGAAAGCGUGGGGAUCAAACAGGAUUAGAUACCCCAGUAGUCC
rnacentral:rRNA from 1 species